CAGUCGCCGCGGUAAUACAGAGGGUGCAAGCGUUAAUCGGAAUUACUGGGCGUAAAGCGCGCGUAGGUGGUUUGUUAAGUUGGAUGUGAAAGCCCCGGGCUCAACCUGGGAACUGCAUCCAAAACUGGCAAGCUAGAGUACGGUAGAGGGUGGUGGAAUUUCCUGUGUAGCGGUGAAAUGCGUAGAUAUAGGAAGGAACACCAGUGGCGAAGGCGACCACCUGGACUGAUACUGACACUGAGGUGCGAAAGCGUGGGGAGCAAACAGGAUUAGAUACCCCAGUAGUCCCUGUCUCUUAUAA
rnacentral:rRNA from 1 species